CUACGGGGUGCAGCAGUGGGGAAUAUUGCACAAUGGGCGCAAGCCUGAUGCAGCCAUGCCGCGUGUAUGAAGAAGGCCUUCGGGUUGUAAAGUACUUUCAGCGGGGAGGAAGGCGAUAAGGUUAAUAACCUUGUCGAUUGACGUUACCCGCAGAAGAAGCACCGGCUAACCCCGUGCCAGCAGCCGCGGUAAUACGGAGGGUGCAAGCGUUAAUCGGAAUUACUGGGCGUAAAGCGCACGCAGGCGGUCUGUCAAGUCGGAUGUGAAAUCCCCGGUCUUAACCUGGGAACUGCAUUCGAAACUGGCAGGCUGGAGUCUUGUAGAGGGGGGUAGAAUUCCAGGUGUAGCGGAGAAAUGCGUAGAGAUCUGGAGGAAUACCGGUGGCGAAGGCGGCCCCCUGGACAAAGACUGACGCUCAGGUGCGAAAGCGUGGGGAGCAAACAGGAUUAGAUACCCGCGUAGUC
rnacentral:rRNA from 1 species